rnacentral:rRNA from 1 species
UACAUGGGGUGCAAACGUUGCUCGGAAUUAUUGGGCGUAAAGCGCACGUAGGCGGUUUGUUAAGUCGGAUGUGAAAUCCCUCGGCUCAACUGAGGAAGUGCAUCCGAAACUGGCAGGCUUGAGUACUAAAGAGGGUCGCGGAAUUCCCGGUGUAGAGGUGAAAUUCGUAGAUAUCGGGAGGAACACCGGUGGCGAAGGCGGCCUCUGGGAGUG